GUUGCUUGACUAUAGCUCAACUAGUGAGAGCGUGGAGCUGAGAAUGCUGAGGUUGCAGGUUCGAUCCCUGUAUGGGACA